rnacentral:rRNA from 1 species
CAGUAGCCGCGGUAAUACAGAGGGUGCAAGCGUUAAUCGGAAUUACUGGGCGUAAAGCGCGCGUAGGUGGUUUGUUAAGUUGGAUGUGAAAGCCCCGGGCUCAACCUGGGAACUGCAUCCAAAACUGGCAAGCUAGAGUACGGUAGAGGGUGGUGGAAUUUCCUGUGUAGCGGUGAAAUGCGUAGAUAUAGGAAGGAACACCAGUGGCGAAGGCGACCACCUGGACUGAUACUGACACUGAGGUGCGAAAGCGUGGGGAGCAAACAGGAUUAGAUACCCCCGUAGUCCCUGUCUCUUAUAC